rnacentral:rRNA from 1 species
GGGGUAGACCCCAAUUGGCCGAAGGCGAUCUCUGGUCUGUACUGACGCUGAGGAGCGAAAGCGUGGGGAGCGAACAGGAUUAGAUACCCUGGUAGUCCACGCCGUAAACGAUGAGUGCUAAGUGUUAGGGGGUUUCCGCCCCUUAGUGCUGCAGCUAACGCAUUAAGCACUCCGCCUGGGGAGUACGGUCGCAAGACUGAAACUCAAAGGAAUUGACGGGGGCCCGCACAAGCGGUGGAGCAUGUGGUUUAAUUCAAAGCAACGCGAAAAACCUUACCAGGUCUUGACAUCCUCUGACAAUCCUAAAGAUAGGACGUCCCCUUCGGGGGCAGAGUGACAGGUGGUGCAUGGUUGUCGUCAGCUCGUGUCGUGAGAUGUUGGGUUAAGUCCCGCAACGAGCGCAACCCUUGAUCUUAUUUGCCAGCAUUCAAUUGGGCACUCUAAGGUGACUGCCGGUGACAAACCGGAGGAAGGUGGGGAUGACGUCAAAUCAUCAUGCCCCUUAUGACCUGGGCUACACACGUGCUACAAUGGACAGAACAAAGGGCAUCGAACCCGCGAGGUUAAACCCAAUCCCACAAAAUCUGUUCUCAGUUUCGGAUCGCAGUCUGCAACUCGACUGCGUGAAACUUGGAAAUCGCUAGUAAUCGCCGGAUCAACAUGCCGCGGGUGAAAUACGUUCUCGGGUCUUGUAACACACCGCCCGUCACACCACGAAGAGUUUUGUAACACCCGAAAUCGGUGAAGGUAACCUUUUUAGGAGCCAAGCCGUCCGAAAGGUGGGGACAGAAUGAUUGGGGGUGGAAGUUCUUAAACAAGGUAACCCACAUA